AACGAACGCUGGCGGCAGGCUUAACACAUGCAAGUCGAACGGAUCCUUCGGGAUUAGUGGCGCACGGGUGAGUAACACGUGGUAACGUACCCCUUGGUAAGGAAUAAUAUUUGGAAACGAAUCCUAAUACCUUAUAAUAUCUUCGGAUCAAAGAUUUAUCGCCAAGGGAUCGGCCCGCGUCUGAGUAGGUAGUUGGUGGGGUAAUGGCCUACCAAGCCGACGAUCAGUAGCUGGUCUGAGAGGAUGAUCAGCCACACUGGGACUGAGACACGGGCCAGACUCCUACGGGAGGCAGCAGUGAGGAAUAUAGGACAAUGGGGGAAACCCUGAUCCAGCCAUGCCGCGUGAGUGAAGAAGGCCUUAGGGUUGUAAAGCUCUUUCAAUAGUGAAGAUAAUGACGGUAGCUAUAGAAGAAGCCCCGGCUAAAUUCGUGCCAGCCGCCGCUGUAA
rnacentral:rRNA from 1 species